rnacentral:rRNA from 1 species
UACGUAGAGAGCAAGCGUUGUCCGGAAUCAUUGGGCGUAAAGCGCGUGUAGGCGGCUUGAUAAGUCUGCUCUGAAAGCCCGGGGCUCAACCCUGGGAGGCGGGUGGAUACUGUCGGGCUCGAGUCCGGAAGAGGCGAGUGGAAUUCCUGGUGUAGCGGUGAAAUGCGCAGAUAUCAGGAGGAACACCAAUGGCGAAGGCAGCUCGCUGGGACGGUACUGACGCUGAGACGCGAAAGCGUGGGGAGCAAACAGG